rnacentral:misc_RNA from 1 species
AACGCACAUUGCGCCCUUUGGUAUUCCGAAGGGCAUGCCUGUUCGAGCGUCAUUAUCACCCCUCAAGCCCUGUGCUUGAUGUUGGAUGGCUUUGGUCGAGUGACAUUGACCCCUCCUAAAGACAAUGACGGCGGCCUGUGGAACCCCCGGUACACUGAGCUUUUAAACCAAGCACGUAUCGGAGAAGGGUGCCCAGGACACGGUCCUUACUCCCUUUAGUGGGAAAGUUUUCAAAGGUUGACCUCGGAUCAGGUAGGAAUACGCGCUGAACUUAA